UGCAGCUGACAGGACAGCAUCGACCUACCGCUAAACCUACAACAACAACAAACAAUAACACUCUGACCAGGUUUAUUAAAAUGAUCUGAAUCAGGUAAGCGAAGUAAAUAUUAUCCACAUUAUCGGACUGCCAUCUAUUGAGCCGAGAGUAUAUUUAAUUUGGCUGAGAGAUCCAGUGAGAAUGAACUUGUCAACGAGGUCACAAAGCUCCUGGACGACUUUCAGGAGGACAAACAAUGCAUUGACAGUUUUACAGAGGAUCUUGCCAAGGAUAUUAAGAAUCUCUCCUCUGCUGUCCAGAAGUUUAUUUUUGAUACUUUGUAUGGAUGGUACAUGCACAAAAAGCUUUUGGAUGUUGUGGUCAACAUCUUUUACAAUGACCAUGG